rnacentral:misc_RNA from 1 species
AGCCAUUAUGCUGCUACGAUCACGUAUGCAUUGUUUGUCACCUUCAGAUAAUCCUAACAAUGGCAGUGGAGCAGGACGAAAAGGGAUUCCACCAUGGCUACUUUCAACAAACGAGUGCAAGAAGUUUGACAACACUCUUGGGGGUGGUCCAUACACAGUCGGUUGAAGCUGAGGUCCACGAUCAUAUACAUGAUCCAAUUGAGGAAUGUUAGCCUGAGGUGGAGGAUGAACAUGAGACCGCUGUAUCUCAUCCCAAGCAUCUGCAAGUCCAUUCUCAUUCUGAUCCGCAGAGCGAAACCCACGAAGAAAUUCAGAACCCUGACCACCGGGUCGAGGAAAUGGCUGUUGUUCAAACUCAGCCCCUGGAAGUGCCCUCAAAGGGUCCUCAACAUCCUGGAAAAAACGAUUCUCAGAACUUGUAGCAGUCGCUAUAGGGAUUUCCUUUAGCCUUUCCUGAGUCUUAGAAGAGGAGCCUAGAAGAGUAUUGGCAAGAGCGCCAAGAGGAUUGGAAGAUGAAGAACCCGGAACCGCACACGCCGCUCCUCCUGCAACUAGGUCCCGCAUCGCCAUAUCUCUUUUAUCUGCUUCCAAUUUUCCGUAAGACGGUGGCGGUAUAGUCGACGAUUGAUUUCUUUUCUUAAAUCAUUGAAAUUGAAGAAUCGGGUUCAAUCGGAAAAGCGGUCAACGACGAUGACGACGACAAAGCAAAAGCAGAGCUAGGGGGCUAUUUAUGGGAACAAGCGAAGGAGAUGAACUCCCAACUCCUUUGUUCGUUGCAGAGCUGUUAAUGUUGCUGAAGGAGAAGGACGACACCAUCCAUA